GGAGCGGAAAAGAUGAUAAUCUGGUGAUUACAAUUCGGGAGAUUGCAGUCGGCGGAAUCACCUUCAACAUAAUUAUCCCAUAACAAAUUCCGCUGAGGCAGGCAAUGAGGUUAAUGCCAAAGAACAACAAAAAAGCAACAAAGAAGUGGAGACAAUUCUUCAGCACCUGUGGCCGUAAGAAUCAUGAUGCUAGAUCAUCCGAAUGCAGGCGUUGAUAAAUCACUAGAUUCAAGUGAAAAAACAUGAAAGUUAAAAAAAAAAAAACACCAGGCCUGCAGGUGCAUCA